CCUACGGGUGGCAGCAGUGAGGAAUAUUGGUCAAUGGACGUAAGCCUGAACCAGCCAUGCCGCGUGCAGGAAGACGGCUCUAUGAGUUGUAAACUGCUUUUGUACAAGGGUAAACCUGAAUACGUGUAUUCAGCUGAAAGUACUGUACGAAUAAGGAUCGGCUAACUCCGUGCCAGCAGCCGCGGUAAUACGGAGGAUCCAAGCGUUAUCCGGAUUUAUUGGGUUUAAAGGGUGCGUAGGCGGAUUGAUAAGUUAGUGGUGAAAUGUCCGAGCUUAACUCGGGAACUGCCUUUAAUACUGUUGAUCUAGAGAGUAGAUGCGGUAGGCGGAAUGUAUGGUGUAGCGGUGAAAUGCUUAGAGAUCAUACAGAACACCGAUUGCGAAGGCAGCUUACCAAUCUAUAUCUGACGUUGAGGCACGAAAGCGUGGGGAGCAAACAGGAUUAGAUACCCGGGUAGUC
rnacentral:rRNA from 1 species